UACGAAGGGGGCUAGCGUUGUUCGGAUUUACUGGGCGUAAAGCACACGUAGGCGGAUCGAUCAGUCAGGGGUGAAAUCCCAGAGCUCAACUCUGGAACUGCCUUUGACACUGUCGAUCUGGAGUAUGGAAGAGGUGAGUGGAAUUCCGAGUGUAGAGGUGAAAUUCGUAGAUAUUCGGAGGAACACCAGUGGCGAAGGCGGCUCACUGGUCCAUUACUGACGCUGAGGUGCGAAAGCGUGGGGAGCAAACAGG
rnacentral:rRNA from 1 species